ensembl:lncRNA
UAUUAUUGUUGUCAUUGUCAUAGGAAUUGCUAAAGGCACAUAGAAAGAACAGGCAGACUGGGUAUGCCAAAUACAAAGUUUUUAUUUCUGUACACAAAAAGUAGAAAGCAGCCAGUAACACACUCGUUAUUAAAAAUCUUUUCUUCAAAACUUAAAUAAAAUUGAAAUCAUAACAACAGAGAUUAACUAUCUGGAGAAAAGACACGGGGACGUGCUUUUUCUGUGAAUAAAAUUAAACAACUCACACUGAUGAUUACCAAUAUUAACAGUGAGUUUGAACAUAAACCUCUGCUUGACUUGCAACGUUAAGUAGUCAGUAAUGAACAAAUGAUUUCAGGGGCAUAAUAUAGAGUGCAUGGAAACCUUGUUAGUGUAGUUAAGUGAUUCACUGCACUCUCACUGGCCUACUCACACACGCACAAAAACACACACACACACACACACACACUCACGUGCGUGUAGUCUCUUAAAAAAACGGUGUGGUUGGCUGGGGGAUGGGGAGUUGACGCGGUGCUACAAAGGGAUGCAGAUCCUGGUAGGAAUGAGACGUCUCAACCGUAGUCCUUCAGUCACGGUACGGGGAUCUGGGUGUGUGCUCCCGUGUGAGUGGUGAGGUUUUGGUUGGGGAAGGGAUGGGGGUGAAUGAACAUUGUAGCUCUUGUUCAUUUCACAGACGAUGGAACGUGGAUCAAGGGAUCGUGUGUUGGACCGAUACGGGCAGAAUGAACCAAAGCUUGCUCUCUGGGGAGCGAUACAUCUUCAGGGAGCCCUUUCAUCUUUCAUCGCCAUCGGUCACUGUCCCACCGUACAUCAACCUGCGCGUCCCUUGACAGACCCCAUCAAACACGUAGAGCACGCCAAUCAUCCAGAUUGACAGGUACUCAUGUAAUGACAUGUCUCAACCACCCAUAAAACACAAUCUAUGUGAUUAAACAUUCCCUCCGUCACUUUCUUUAACCCUCUCUUGCUCCGCAUAUACACUUCCUCCUAUCCCUUCUGUGACUCGACUGUACCCCAAGCUAGGCCCGGGGUGGGAUUAUUUUUAACAGGCGACGGCUGGUAAUACUCUUUGAAUUUUCCGAACCAAAACGGUAAAAAACGGUUUUGGGCUUGAUGUUUUGCAAGCACUUCGUUUUUCAAAUGAGGCUAGGCCCCUCUAUAGCCUGGUGCCCAUAAGGUUAUUAGCAUUUCUAUUAUAAACCUCACACACCACUUUUUCAGCCUCACAAACCUGCAGCGCUGUAUCCUUGGGGACGGUUCCCUAGCAACCGUACCAAAAAACUAACAGAACGGUAUUGUGGAGGAUGAUGUCAAAAGUGAAUGUUCCGCUCAUUUGCAAAAAGGGAGGGAAAUCUUUUGUACCAGAAGCAGACUCAGGCAUCGAAACACAUAUCUCGACGGCUGAUUGGAAGGGAUCGUGGGUUCACCCAUCACGAGUUCAAAUCCCUUUCCAACUCUACGCCAUUCUUCCCAAAUUCAAAAAAAAACAUAGAGCGAUUGUUUGAUGCCAGUAUCGUUUCAGGCGGGCCUCCCGUAGUUUUCUGGAGAUUUUCCGUGGCAAGAACAUCAAAAGAGAACAUCCACUUGCGAACCCAGAAGCAAUGAACAGCGUUUCCUACACAACCGGCUCGUUGUCUUUCAUAUCCUUAAUCGCUCCGGGCAACCUCCACCACGGAGCAUGGCUCACACGGGGCCCUGCUUGACCCAUCUAGGGCCCCUCCAGAAAUCUCCCUCCUGGACCCUGUCGAGCUGUUCCAUCCAAUUUAUGACUACACUGAAUGACGUGUAUGUGUUAGUGUGUGUGUGGGGGGUGUGUGUAUGUGUGUGUGUGUGUGCGUGCAAUCGUACGCGCGCACAUGCACUCGCCACAAUACUCCUCCGUUGCGGUGAGAAAAGGAGAAGAUGAGGGAGAAAGCGCUCGCCUGAUGUGUGUCCUUGGUGACUUCAGAUUGCUUUUGUACCAAAAAAAAAGGGACGGAAUUAGGAAUAACCAACCCCCAUUCGGAUGCCGUUAAAAGCUUCAGGGCAUCUACACAGUGUCGGUUGGUCCUUCUCGAGUGCUCCUGUAUUUAAUGCUUCGGGAGACCGCUGUCUGGCUGUCUGGAUUAGCGCGUGACGCGUGACCUCACCAGGAGGGAGGGCACAGCCGUUUUAAAACCUCUCUUUAGAGUCCAACAACAAUCCAACGAGCAUUGAGGGAAAAAAACAGGGGGAAAUAAGCUCAUUCGACAAUUCAAGACGUUCUUAUUGAGCCGAAGGAUUAGACAGCGUUUUAAUGGUGUCUAAUAGUGUAUAUUUAAUGGGUUGGGUGGUGGAGGUGUACCGGGGAUUAGGGAUGAGCUCUGGAGACUCCGAGGUGGUGGUGGUGGGGGGAGGGGGGGGUUGCAUUACAACGACUUGCCCUGGUGGGAUGAUGAUGAUGAUGACGAUGGUACCCCUGGUUGAGACCGGGAGAGAGAGGGGGAGGAGGAAGAGGAGAGGCCCUGAUCCAGCUGCCGGGAUCAUUGUCCCACGGCCGUACCCAGCGGGGGGCGGCGGGGAUCCUAGCAUCCUGCCCGGGCGCCGUCGAUUAUUGACACACAUUAUUCUAAACAAACCCCCCCAACUGAGUCACGGCACAAAUUGACUCCAGAUCCAGACGGCCGCAUCACAGCUGCUCCCCGGGGGACGUAAGGACGUGACGAUCAGCGGUGCUGCCCUAUCUCCCCUGGACGAGUGAUGGAUCGCGUCUACGAAGAAGAGCGCUCCGUGAACGGCUGGACGGAAGUGGGAAGCGUAAUGCACGUCAUCGAUACAUUUAGCCGCUGUUGGCACAUGCGUGUGUUGUCGGUUGUGUUGUUAUAUCAUUUAAGCGCUCACACACGUGUUAGGGACGCAGGGGGCAUAGUGGCCACUGGCCACGGACCGCGGGAAUAAGAUGGAAGCGUGCGCACGCGCGCGUGUGUGUGUGUGUGUGUGCAAGUCGGUGCUGUUCUAGCGGGCACUGUGGCUGUCUUGAAUGAAUCACAGGGAGCUUUAACCGAUGACUCGCGGAGCCCCACGGGGUAAUAAAUACACCGGUCUGCUGCGGACGCCCGUUCUCUCGGCAGCACGUCGGCCCAGCCAACUCCCAGUCAGCACUGGAGCUGCCACUCUUUGAGUAACACACAGAACCGAAAAACAAUGAGAUGAGAGAGGCGUCACACAAAAGAGAAAGACAACAGAGACAACAGAAGAAGACUUGCUGAAAGUGACACAACCCGACACGAUGAGAGUCGAUGCAUUUUCUCUGCGGAAGGUCCAAUUUGUGCUGUGUACCUUUAUAAAGCUUCACACCUCUGAAUGACUACACAGAUGCUGGUUAGCACAGUGUCUUGGCUGGGCACUAUUACACAUACUAUAUACCUUUUCUCCCUGAAGAGCUUGCUGAAAACCCGUGUCUCCAUUGGCUGGAUAACGCAGGCAGUCAGGCAGGCUGUGUUGCUAAUGUCGGCAAAGUUAGCUCGUACAGCCUCGCCCGACGGACAUUAGCAUAAGCCUUUAGUGGUUUGCGUGACAAAAGAAAAUAUAAUAAGUAGGCUUUUUUUUAGUGCUUUUCCGAGUUCCGG